GCCCCGAUAGUCUAGAGGCCAAGGACUCCACCCUCUCACGGUGGCAACCCGAGUUCGAAUCUCGGUCGGGGCG
rnacentral:tRNA from 1 species